UAUUUGUCGGUGUGUCUUAGUUCUUCUUCCUCGAUGUUUAAUCAGGCCGAAAUUUGUUUGGAAGAUCCUUUUUCGGAAACCAGACCAAAAGAAAGAUUUGUGUUUAUCAAAACAGUUCACUCUGUUCUAGGGGGCAAUCAAUCUACUCGAAUAAAGAUCAGCCAUUUGCGGAGGAUAUUUAAAUGGCUUCUUGGGAAAACUUAGUCUUUGUAUUUGAGAUUCGCCUUUUCAAGUAUGUUAUGAGAAUCAACCUGCUCGAAUACUUCUCCUAAAGAGGUUGAGAUUCCCGUCAAACCUGGUUGGCUGCUUCUUCAGGGCUCAACUGGUAUCCCUGCUGAAGUGUAAAUAGCUUGCAUGAGAGAUGCCACGGACAAAAAAAAACAGUCUUGGUCCUAAACAGAUUAAUCCCCUGUUAUUUGGCAAAGCAGAGGGUCGGAGGCGGUGGAAUUAGUAGGAAGGCAGCUGUUUGUUGUUGAUUACGUGUAGGACGCUUUGUGAACGAAGACCAGUUGAUACAUAUAUAAUUUUUGUAUUUAGUUGUCUGCAUCCCAAUUCCCACCGAGGAACAUAUGAUGGUGUGCUUGUGUCACCUUUUCUGGGGUUUUUGUUUUGUUUUGGUGGCUAUUGGAUUUUAGUUGGUUUCUUUGUUGCAUUGUUUAACGUCGAUGCCAUGUAACUAUCUGAACAUGUUCUCAUGCAUGAAGCAAAAGCCAUGCUUAUUUUCAC